rnacentral:lncRNA from 10 species
AUAUCCAUCUUUAUGGAUGCCUCUUUUCCCAUUCUACCUCUUUCCUAUGUACACUAGGAGAGAUCUCUUUUCCCUUGAAAUCCUAGUAUUUAGGUCUAAUAUUUAGGUCUCCUUAACAGUUUGCACUGGGAUCUUAUUUAUGUAAGUCUUUUACCUUCACUAUCAAAUGGUAAUCUCCUUGAAGGCAGGGAUGUUCAUUACUCUUCCUGAAUUCCCUGCUGCAUAGUCACUUGCACAUAAGAGAUACCCCAUAAAUGAUUGCUGAAUGGAAUCAAUGUUACAAAGAAGAUGACUGCAUUGAACUAGGGAGUGGGGAAGUUGAACUAGGCAUUUUCUAAGGCUUUCUGCUCUAAAAUUUUAUAAUUCAUUUGAUUGCAGGUUGCAUGUCCCUACCUGUGAGACAAUUUCUAAGCUGCGUAUUCCUUACUUGAUUACUGAGUGCAUGGAGAAUGCAAUUUACCCUCAUGCCAGUCCAAGGAAAGAAGAAAAGAUUGGGUUCAUGAACGCACACAAAUACAGUUUGCUGAUGCCAAAUAUGAAUGGUUUCAGAUUGUGCACAGUUUUAUACUAGCCAUUCUUUCUUUCUAUUCUCUCCUGUCUCCCAUUAACAGGGACAACCUUACAAUAGGUCAAAAAUAGGAAAUGGUGGUAGGAUGCCAUUAUUACCUUCAAUUGUUCCAUUUCCACACCUGUGAAAGAGUAUCACCUGUACUAUAUAUUUAAUGAUUUAAUUUUGGCAGUACACAUAUGUAUCUAUUUCCAAUUCCAAGAUAAAUAUAUAUUCAAUGAUUACAUAAUGCAACAUGCACUUAAGGGAAGUUGUUGCUCUUAGCAAUAACCUAGAGUUUUGCUUUUAUCUAUGUAUCAAUUAGCUUUUGCUAUGUAACAAGUAAUCCCACAAUAUGAUGGUUAAAAGUAGCAACCAGUUAUUUCAUUCUUAAUUCUGUAGUUUGGCAAUUGGGCUGGGAUUCCUGGGCAGUUCUGGUCUGAGCUGGCUUGGCUGAUCUUGACUGAAUUCACUUAAGUAUCUAUGAUCAGCUAAUAAGUUGACUGGGGCUUUGUGGUUUGACAGCUCAGCGGAGACAGCUGGAAAAACUAGGUCACUCUCCACAGGAUCUCUCUUCCUCCACAGUCUAACCUCGUCUUCUUUAUAUAAUGGCAUUAGGAGUCUACAAGUGAGAAAGGAAGUAUGUAAAGCCUCUUGAAGCCCUGGUUCUGAACUUUUCACUGUUACUUCUGCUACAUUUUAUUGCCACAGGCAGGUCACAAGCCUCACCCAGAUUCAAGGGAUGAAUAAAUUGUCUCUUGAAAGGAGAGGCAGAGUUGCAUUGCAUAGGCUGUAGAUACAGGGAGGGAAGAAGAAUGGUGGCCAUUUUUGCAACACGUCACAAUCAGCUGGGGUGCUUUUGCCUUAAGUUACAGAAAAUAACUCCAAGUUGUUUAAAUGAUGAAAACACAUUAUGUAUCUCUUGAAAUACAUUUGGAGGAAAAGUGAUUCCAGGGUUACUUCAGCUGCUUAGCAAUGCCAUCAUGGCCCUAGGGUUUUUUUUUUUUAAAUUUCACUUUCCACUCUGUCAUAUCCAGCAUAUUGGUUUUUGUCCACAUUUUAACAAGAUGUCCAUGACAGUUUCAGGCUGUACUCACAGAUGAUAGAAUCCAGAGGAGAAGAAUGGAAUGGCUCUGUCUUGUGUCUUCUUUUACAAAUGAGGAACAUCUACUCAGAAGCCCUUGCAGUACUCCCACUGGGUCCCAUUACAUCACAUUCCUAUGCCUGAGCAUAGGAAUUCAUCUUCAUCUGGGCUUCCUCUUCAUGUUAGUGGCAGCCUGGCUACAGAAAAGCUCUGCUUGUUGACGUCAUACUACUAGCUAUUGAGGUUUCCAGGCUGCUGGCCUGCCUUGCAGAUUUCGAACUUGCCAGCCCCCACAAUCAGCUCGAUUUUCCUUCGAGACCUGGAUGUAUGCAGGACCCACCAUGCUCAUUUGGGAUACACCAUUGUGUUGGCCACAGGUUCAGGGAUGGACAUGUGAGGCGGGCCAGGUCGCUGAGGCUUAGUUCUGGGACUGUGGUGGGCUUUGGUAGGAAAGGAAGAUUGCCGCUUGUAAAGGUGAUUCUAAGCCCAGCGUUCCUGGGGACUACCAAGGAUGCUCAUGUUGAGAAUGAAGCAGCUACUAUAGAGGGGACAUGGAGCUGAGAAAUCAGCUGAAGCUUUGAUAAUAUUCUUUCAGCCCCACAAUCAACUGAUUCCUGAAUCCCAGAACCCCUCCUGGAUUUAUAUGGGUAAUAAAUCUUCUUCCUCCCUUCCCCCACUUUUUUUUUUCCUGAGUUAGUUUGAAUUGAGUUUUCAGUCACUUGCACAGAGUGCAAAAUCUUGACUCAUGUGCAGACGAUUAGAAUUGUUCUCAUUGGUUAACUUAAGAAUAAGCAAGCUUAAUAAAGUUAAGAUUAUAAAAGCACGUUUGUACUAAUGAAACAUCACCCGCUUGUUUUUGUUGUAUACAUUCAUGUUUUACAUAAGAAUUACUUGAAACAAGCUCUGUUGAAAUAUGAAAAUUAAAAAAUAAAUGUAUAAAAAUAUAAAACCUCUACAACCCCCCGGCCUACAAAUAAAGUCAAAUCCACGUGUAGCAAGUCAUUCCAGACCAUUCGUAGUUGGUCCUGACCUCCUUUCCCUCCUCAGACCUUUCAUUCCUUCCAUGCCACAUUUCUAGAACUCUGUCCAGCUUUCUCGGCUCCUCUGCUCUUCUGCUUCUUGCUCAGUGUCUGUUCUCUGCUCAAAACACCACCUUUUUCUGCUCUUUUUUUUCACUCAUGCUUUAAGGUUCAGCUAAAGAGCACAUCCUUGUUAAAGCCUUCCAGAGUCUUCCCAUAGAGAAUUCCUUGCUCUUCCUUCUGCUCAGCCAUCCUCACAGUCCGACGUGUAUUACUGCUAUGUGGACUUAAGUGCAUUCUGUCCAGUCUGGAGUCUCACAGGCAGGGCCUACAUUUGGUUCAUCUGUGUAUCCCUCCUGCUUGAAGGCUGUCUGCCACAUAGUAGAUAUUCAAUGCAUAUUUGUCAAAUGAAAUUUCAAUAUGUGGCAUCAGG